rnacentral:rRNA from 1 species
AUUGAACGCUGGCGGCAUGCCUUACACAUGCAAGUCGAACGGCAGCACGGGGCAACCUGGUGGCGAGUGGCGAACGGGUGAGUAAUGCAUCGGAACGUACCUUUCAGUGGGGGAUAACGUAGCGAAAGUUACGCUAAUACCGCAUAUUCUGUGAGCAGGAAAGCAGGGGAUCGCAAGACCUUGCGCUGAUUGAGCGGCCGAUGUCAGAUUAGCUAUUUGGUGAGGGAAAGGCUCACCAAGGCGACGAUCUGUAGCGGGUCUGAGAGGAUGAUCCGCCACACUGGAACUGAGACACGGUCCAGACUCCUACGGGAGGCAGCAGUGGGGAAUUUUGGACAAUGGGGGCAACCCUGAUCCAGCCAUGCCGCGUGAGUGAAGAAGGCCUUCGGGUUGUAAAGCUCUUUCGGCCGGGAAGAAAUCGCACGGGCUAAUACCCUGUGUGGAUGACGGUACCGGAAUAAGAAGCACCGGCUAACUACGUGCCAGCCGCCGCGGUAACAC